rnacentral:lncRNA from 1 species
UCAUAUACAAGGUAGGGAUUUCUACCACAUAUUUCAUACUCAUCAUACAUCAUCUUAAGAGCAUAAACCAACAAAGAGAACAAGAAAUCUUAAGGCCUUUUUCAUCAAUAGGUUCUGCCACUUUUGGAAGAUGAAGAAGAAAAUGUUUUCCUCAUCAAUUCUACAUAUAAACAUGCUUAGAAAUCUCCCAAGAACACAUUUAUACCACCAAAAUUCAAUAAUCAAAUCAUUUCAUAUAAAAUUCCCAAUUUUCACAAAAUAGUAGAAACUUCACAAAAUCAAAAAUUUAAACAAGGUAGGAGGAUUUAUGAACACUUACUUUAAAACAAGCCUUAGCAAGCUUAGAUUAAAGCAUUCUAAGCUCCAACUUUGCCUUUACUCCUUGGUAGAGGUUUCCUAAGCCUUUGGCUUUCCAAGUUUCUUGAAAAUAAUCACCACAAAUCACUUCUCAAGCUUUAAACUCUAGGAUUGAUUCCUUAAAUCAAGUUAAAUGGGUUGAAUUUGAUGGAUUUAGCUAAGGAUGAAGUUGAAGAAAAACAAAGAGAAGAAGAAGAAGAAGGAGAUAGCCAA